rnacentral:tRNA from 1 species
ACUGAAAAUGUUUCGACGGGCUCACAUCACCCCAUAAACA